rnacentral:rRNA from 1 species
CACGUAGGGGGCAAGCGUUUGUCCGGAUUUAUUGGGGCGUAAAAGAGCUCGUAGGCGGCUCGGUAAGUUGGGUGUUUAAACCCCCAGGCUUAACCUGGGGACGCCACCCGAUACUGCCGUGGCUAGAGUCCGGUAGGGGAGCGUGGAAUUCCUGGUGUAGCGGUGAAAUGCGCAGAUAUCAGGAGGAACACCAGCGGCGAAGGCGGGCGCUCUGGGCCGGAACUGACGCUGAGGAGCGAAAGCGUGGGUAGCAAACAGG